UCCUCUUCCGAAGCCAAUCAUCAAAUAGAGGAAAAUACCGGCUAUUGACCUUGCCAUAAGGAACCUUACCCUUCCUCUGAAUGUCACGCCACUCAUCCAAUACUUGCCUCAGCUUGGCCUGAUUGCCCUCAAUCGGAAAGUAGAAGGACUCCUGAAUCUCUCGUCCAAGAGGAGGACCCUCCACAGCUUUAAAUUUCUACGGGAUCACAAUCCCCUCCACUAGCCCCAUGUUUGACAUAUUGACCACCCCAGGAGUGGCAUAACUCUCCAAAGCUCUGAUUUUCUCAGCCAGCAGCUGAAUCUCUUUGUUC
rnacentral:lncRNA from 1 species